rnacentral:rRNA from 1 species
CAGUAGCCACGUGAACACAGAGGGUGCGAGCGUUAAUCGGAUUUACUGGGCGUAAAGCGUGUGUAGGUUGUUGUUCAAGUCAGUUGUGAAAUCCCUGGGCUCAACCUGGGAACUGCUUCUGAGACUGAACGACUAGAGUACGGUAGAGGGUGGUGGAAUUUCCGGUGUAGCGGUGAAAUGCGUAGAUAUCGGAAGGAACAUCAAUGGCGAAGGCAGCCACCUGGGCCUGUACUGACACUGAGGCACGAAAGCGUGGGGAGCAAACAGGAUUAGAUACCCCAGUAGUCCCUGUCUCUUAUAA